rnacentral:rRNA from 1 species
AGCGAACGCUGGCGGCAGGCCUAACACAUGCAAGUCGAACGAACCUUUCGGGGUUAGUGGCGGACGGGUGAGUAACACGUGGGAACGUGCCUUUAGGUUCGGAAUAACUCAGGGAAACUUGUGCUAAUACCGAAUGUGCCCUUCGGGGGAAAGAUUUAUCGCCUGUAGAGCGGCCCGCGUCUGAUUCGCUAGUUGGUUGAGGUAAUGGCUCACCAAGGCGACGAUCAGGAGCUGGGCGGAGAGGAUGAUCAGCCACAUUGGGACUGAGACACGGCCCAAACUCCUACGGGAGGCAGCAGUGGGGAAUCUUGCGCAAUGGGCGAAAGCCUGACGCAGCCAUGCCGCGUGAAUGAUGAAGGUCUUAGGAUUGUAAAAUUCUUUCACCGGGGACGAUAAUGACGGUACCCGGAGAAGAAGCCCCGGCUAACUUCGUG